rnacentral:rRNA from 1 species
AUUGAACGCUGGCGGCAUGCCUUACACAUGCAAGUCGAACGGCAGCACGGGUGCUUGCACCUGGUGGCGAGUGGCGAACGGGUGAGUAAUACAUCGGAACGUACCUUAUCGUGGGGGAUAACGCAGCGAAAGCUGUGCUAAUACCGCAUACGCCCUGAGGGGGAAAGCGGGGGAUCGAAAGACCUCGCGCGAUUAGAGCGGCCGAUGCCUGAUUAGCUUGUUGGUGGGGUAAAAGCCCACCAAGGCGACGAUCAGUAGCUGGUCUGAGAGGACGAUCAGCCACACUGGGACUGAGACACGGCCCAGACUCCUACGGGAGGCAGCAGUGGGGAAUUUUGGACAAUGGGGGCAACCUGAUCCAGCAAUGCCGCGUGAGUGAAGAAGGCCUUCGGGUUGUAAAGCUCUUUUGUCAGGGAAGAAACACCGGCUCUAACACAGUCCGGGAAUGACGGUACCUGAAGAAUAAGCACCGGCUAACUACGUGCCAGCAGCAGCCGCGG